CAAGGUGUAGCUUAACAUAAAGCACCCGGCUUACACCCGGGAGAUUUCAAUUAACUUGACCGCCCUGA
rnacentral:tRNA from 1 species